rnacentral:rRNA from 1 species
CCCUUAGAUGUUCUGGGCUGCACGCGCGCUACACUGAUGCACUCAACGAGUUUACGACCUUGCCCGAUAGGGUUGGGUAAUCUUUUUAAAAUGCAUCGUGAUGGGGAUAGAUUAUUGCAAUUAUUAAUCUUCAACGAGGAAUUCCUAGUAAGCGCGAGUCAUCAGCUCGUGCUGAUUACGUCCCUGCCCUUUGUACACACCGCCCGUCGCUCCUACCGAUUGAAUGGUCCGGUGAAGUGUUCGGAUCGCGCCGACGUGGGCGGUUCGCCGCCGGCGACGUCGCGAGAAGUCCACUGAACCUUAUCAUUUAGAGGAAGGAGAAGUCGUAACA